rnacentral:rRNA from 1 species
UACAGAGGGUGCGAGCGUUAAUCGGAUUUACUGGGCGUAAAGGGCGCGUAGGCGGUGAUGUGAGUGUGAUGUGAAAGCCCCGGGCUUAACCUGGGAAGUGCAUCGCAAACGACAUGACUGGAGUAUAUGAGAGGGUGGCGGAAUUUCCGGUGUAGCGGUGAAAUGCGUAGAGAUCGGAAGGAACGUCAAUGGCGAAGGCAGCCACCUGGCAUAAUACUGACGCUGAGGCGCGAAAGCGUGGGGAGUGAACAGG